rnacentral:rRNA from 1 species
UACAGAGGGUGCGAGCGUUAAUCGGAAUUACUGGGCGUAAAGGGCGCGUAGGCGGCCUUCUAAGUCAGACGUGAAAUCCCCCGGCUUAACCUGGGAACUGCGUCUGAUACUGGGAGGCUUGAGUAUGGGAGAGGGAUGUAGAAUUCCAGGUGUAGCGGUGAAAUGCGUAGAUAUCUGGAGGAAUACCGGUGGCGAAGGCGGCAUCCUGGACCAUUACUGACGCUGAGGCGCGAAAGCUAGGGGAGCAAACGGG